rnacentral:rRNA from 1 species
GAUGAAUGCUGGCGGCGUGCCUAACACAUGCAAGUCGAGCGGCAGCGCGAGUAGUUUACUCCUUGGCGGCGAGCGGCGGACGGCUGAGUAACGCGUAGGAACGUGCCCCAAAGUGAGGAAUAACUGCCCGAAAGGGUGGCUAAUGACGCAUAUGAUCUUCGGAUUAAAGUCUUCGGACGCGUUGGGAGCGGCGUGCGUUAGAUUAGGUGGUUGGUGAGGUAAUGGCUCACCAAGCUGACGAGCCAUAGAUGGUCUGAGAGGAUGAGCAGCCAGACUGGGACUGGGACGCGGCCCAGACUCCUACGGGAUGCAGGAGUGAGGAAUCUACCACAAUGGGCGAAAGCCUGAAGGAGCAACGCCGCGUGAAGGAUGAAGGCCGUAGGGUCGUAAAGUUCUUUUAUAAGUGAAGAAUAUGACGGUAACUUAUGAAUAAGCACCGGCUAACUACGUG